rnacentral:rRNA from 1 species
UACGUAGGGGGCUAGCGUUGUCCGGAAUCAUUGGGCGUAAAGAGCGUGUAGGCGGCCCGGUAAGUCCGCUGUGAAAGUCGGGGGCUCAACCCUCGAAUGCCGGUGGAUACUGUCGGGCUAGAGUGCGGAAGAGGCGAGUGGAAUUCCUGGUGUAGCGGUGGAAUGCGUAGAGAUCCGGAAGAACACCGGUGGCGAAGGCGGCCUGCUGGGCAGUAGCUGACGCUGAAGCGCGACAGCGUGGGGAGCAAACAGG